rnacentral:ribozyme from 1 species
UGCCCAGUAACUCCUAUCCCUACCUCCUCGUACUGGCCGGUGGGAACUUUGUUCGUAUGCUGACAGAGAAGG